UAAACUAUUUUUGGCAAUAAAUGCAGAAAAAUGCAAAAUGCGUUUUUUCCGCUCUUUAGUGGUUGCAAGACUAUUCAAUUUCUUUGUGGAAAAUAGCUUCUACUAUUUCAAUAUGGGGAAAAAAUAUUUGUAUUACGGCCUUCAAUUUUAGAUAUCACAGCUUAAAAUGUCCAAAAGAAUGGAACUAUAAUAAUAUUAGUGUGGUGAGAUUAUGUCCUGUGCUUCCUAUGUGGAGACAAGUGGCAUUUUGAACGAAAAUUGGAGCAAUGUGAACUACCUAUUUGAGGUCAGUAAUCAAUAUGCUCCACCUUGAGGUACUGAUGCCCAUUUUUCCAAGAAUUUAUGAAAGAUUCAAGUUAUAACCAAGUUAAGUUUAUUAGUAGAUGUAUUAUGCAGUUAAGGUUGCUUUAAACGUGAACCAUUUUAAAUAUUUGUGUCAAUUUAAGCAUUGGCAUAUUAUUUAUAACUCCGGAAGUAAAUACUAGGUAGAACAUAAUUUUUCUGGUGAUUACCCCGAAGUCACGGCCUUCACAUUUUACGAAAUUAUACCGGCUGCGCUAAAAAGGAAUCCUGAGCAACUGUUUUUUAACUUUGAGUAUGAUUUGCAAGUUUUGAAACCUUUCUUUGUAUCGAAUUUAACGAUGCAGCCUUUGAAGAAACAUAGAUGCGUUAGAAUUCAUUGUUAUAUUUAUCGUUGCAUUUCACUCACAAAUGUCUUUGCAUAAUCAGAAGAGUACUGAUAAGUUUAAUUAAUGGUCUUAUAAAAGUACGUCAUCAAGAAAUGUGUACCAAAUAUGUGAUUAGAAACUUUGACCGAUAAAGUAAAGAUUAAGUUUUGUUGUUAUUACACGGAGAUCAAACAAAACGUAAAAAUUAAAUCAAUAUUUUUUAAGCUUUGUAGAUAAUAACUGGCAAUGCAGUAUUGCAAAAGUUCGCUUUGAACAUAGAUAAAGCAAUUCAUUGAAGAAUUCAAAACAAACAAUUUUUUGAUUACUGCGCAACUUAUAUUAUGUGAGUAUUAGCCAAGCUUCCUAAAGUAGGUAUACGUCACAAGCUUGCCAUUUUAAAUUAUUGAAUCUAUUAACGUUGAAUCAGCCGACCUUUCUAGAGUUUGGUGCUCGUAGUUUGAGCGCUUCUCAGUGGACCUGCUGGGAAGCGCGUUUUGAAGUUACAUUGAUUUACAUGGAGGCAUUCACACGGGCGCGACAAGGCCGGACCACCGAUUUAGCAGCGCUUCAAUGGCGUUCAGUGGUUAACUACCGACGAGAAGCGCGUCAAAAAGAAACGCCAUUAAUAGCGAUACAUUGGUUUAAAUCAGGUAUAGGCAACUUUUGACAUGUUGAGGGCCAAACUUUAGGCCGCGUUUAAAAGUACUUAGUGCAUUUUAAAGUAGUGAUAAUAGUUUUUGCGAUAGAUAUUAGACAUGAAAUAAUAGGACAAAGUUAUUAUAGUACAAUUUAUUAAAAUAACAAAAUGAAAUUUAAAAAAAUGGUACAUUAUAAUUAAAUCGUUAAAUUUGCAAUUGUUACAAACUACGAAAGUUAAAUAUACCGAAAUCAAUAAGACUUU